GCUUUGCCUGCUAUCUCUUACCCAUGUCUUUUGAGUACCUUACGUUUCCUCGGCGGGUCCGCCCGCCGAUUGGACAAUUUAAACCAUUUGCAGUUGCAAUCAGCGUCUGAAAAAACUUAAUAGUUACAACUUUCAACAACGGAUCUCUUGGUUCUGGCAUCGAUGAAGAACGCAGCGAAAUGCGAUAAGUAGUGUGAAUUGCAGAAUUCAGUGAAUCAUCGAAUCUUUGAACGCACAUUGCGCCCCUUGGUAUUCCAUGGGGCAUGCCUGUUCGAGCGUCAUUUGUACCUUCAAGCUCUGCUUGGUGUUGGGUGUUUGUCUCGCCUCUGCGUGUAGACUCGCCUCAAAACAAUUGGCAGCCGGCGUAUUGAUUUCGGAGCGCAGUACAUCUCGCGCUUUGCACUCAUAACGACGACGUCCAAAAGUACAUUUUUACACUCUUGACCUCG
rnacentral:rRNA from 1 species